AGCGCGCUUUGCCCACUUUUCUGGUGUUUUAAGACUUCAAAAUGCCAGAGCCGGCUAAGUCCGCUCCUGCCCCGAAGAAAGGCUCUAAGAAGGCUGUGACUAAGGCACAGAAGAAAGACGGGAAGAAGCGCAAGCGUAGCCGCAAGGAGAGCUACUCCGUGUAUGUGUACAAGGUGCUGAAGCAGGUCCACCCUGACACCGGCAUCUCGUCCAAGGCUAUGGGCAUUAUGAAUUCCUUCGUCAAUGAUAUCUUCGAGCGCAUUGCCGGUGAGGCCUCUCGCCUGGCGCAUUACAACAAGCGCUCCACCAUCACGUCCAGAGAGAUCCAGACUGCCGUGCGUCUGCUGUUGCCUGGGGAGCUGGCCAAGCACGCAGUGUCCGAGGGUACCAAGGCUGUCACCAAGUACACCAGUUCCAAGUAAACUCAGCAAUUGGCUUAUCUACUCAAGAUUCAAACCGACGCUUUUCUUGAAUCCCAGUGCUCAGUCUCUGCCAAAAUUGGUCGGUUUUCUGAGUAUUGAAUCUUAAAAGCUCUGUAGCUGGCUUGUAAUAUACGGAGAUUUUUUAAAAGCUCUCACUUAGGAGAGGGCAGCUCAAAGUGCUGGAUACAUUGACAAGCCUCCAAGACUGAAGGGGCUGAUCAUUAGCUGCUUGAUCAUUUAUUUCUGGAGGAUUCCACCAAGACAUUGUUUACCUG